rnacentral:rRNA from 1 species
AUGAACGCUAGCUACAGGCUUAACACAUGCAAGUCGAGGGGCAUCAGGAAGAAAGCUUGCUUUCUUUGCUGGCGACCGGCGCACGGGUGAGUAACACGUAUCCAACCUGCCCUUUACUCGGGGAUAGCCUUUCGAAAGAAAGAUUAAUACCCGAUGGCAUAAUGAUUCCGCAUGGUUUCAUUAUUAAAGGAUUCCGGUAAAGGAUGGGGAUGCGUUCCAUUAGGUUGUUGGUGAGGUAACGGCUCACCAAGCCUUCGAUGGAUAGGGGUUCUGAGAGGAAGGUCCCCCACAUUGGAACUGAGACACGGUCCAAACUCCUACGGGAGGCAGCAGUGAGGAAUAUUGGUCAAUGGGCGCUAGCCUGAACCAGCCAAGUAGCGUGAAGGAUGAAGGCUCUAUGGGUCGUAAACUUCUUUUAUAUAAGAAUAAAGUGCAGUAUGUAUACUGUUUUGUAUGUAUUAUAUGAAUAAGGAUCGGCUAACUCCGUGCCAGCAGCCGCGGUAAUACGGAGGAUCCGAGCGUUAUCCGGAUUUAUUGGGUUUAAAGGGAGCGUAGGUGGACUGGUAAGUCAGUUGUGAAAGUUUGCGGCUCAACCGUAAAAUUGCAGUUGAUACUGUCAGUCUUGAGUACAGUAGAGGUGGGCGGAAUUCGUGGUGUAGCGGUGAAAUGCUUAGAUAUCACGAAGAACUCCGAUUGCGAAGGCAGCUCACUGGACUGCAACUGACACUGAUGCUCGAAAGUGUGGGUAUCAAACAGGAUUAGAUACCCUGGUAGUCCACACAGUAAACGAUGAAUACUCGCUGUUUGCGAUAUACAGUAAGCGGCCAAGCGAAAGCAUUAAGUAUUCCACCUGGGGAGUACGCCGGCAACGGUGAAACUCAAAGGAAUUGACGGGGGCCCGCACAAGCGGAGGAACAUGUGGUUUAAUUCGAUGAUACGCGAGGAACCUUACCCGGGCUUGACAUCCUUCUGACCGCACCUUAAUCGGUGCUUUCCUUCGGGACAGAAGAGACAGGUGGUGCAUGGUUGUCGUCAGCUCGUGCCGUGAGGUGUCGGCUUAAGUGCCAUAACGAGCGCAACCCUUAUCUUUAGUUACUAACAGGUCAUGCUGAGGACUCUAGAGAGACUGCCGUCGUAAGAUGUGAGGAAGGUGGGGAUGACGUCAAAUCAGCACGGCCCUUACGUCCGGGGCUACACACGUGUUACAAUGGGGGGUACAGAAGGCAGCUAGCGGGUGACCGUAUGCUAAUCCCAAAAUCCUCUCUCAGUUCGGAUCGAAGUCUGCAACCCGACUUCGUGAAGCUGGAUUCGCUAGUAAUCGCGCAUCAGCCACGGCGCGGUGAAUACGUUCCCGGGCCUUGUACACACCGCCCGUCAAGCCAUGGGAGCCGGGGGUACCUGAAGUACGUAACCGCAAGGAUCGUCCUAGGGUAAAACUGGUGACUGGGGCU